rnacentral:rRNA from 1 species
GGGUGUAUCAUGGGCGUAAGCUGAUCCAGCCAUGCCGCGUGAGUGAUGAAGGCCCUAGGGUUGUAAAGCUCUUUCGCCAGGGACGAUAAUGACGGUACCUGGAUAAGAAGCCCCGGCUAACUUCGUGCCAGCAGCCGCGGUAAAUA